rnacentral:rRNA from 1 species
UACGUAGGGUCCGAGCGUUGUCCGGAAUUAUUGGGCGUAAAGGGCUCGUAGGCGGUUUGUCACGUCGGGAGUGAAAACUCAGGGCUCAACCCUGAGCGUGCUUCCGAUACGGGCAGACUAGAGGUAUGCAGGGGAGAACGGAAUUCCUGGUGUAGCGGUGGAAUGCGCAGAUAUCAGGAGGAACACCGGUGGCGAAGGCGGUUCUCUGGGCAUUAACUGACGCUGAGGAGCGAAAGCAUGGGGAGCGAACAGG